CUCGCGCCACACGUGUGACGGCUGCUGGCCGGGUUGACUCGGGUUCGUGAGACCCUCGGCUCGGUCCCGCUCGGCCCGGCCAUGGCGGCGACCGCGGCGGGGACGCGCGUGUUCUUGGAGGUGCGGAGACAGCUGCAGAGCGCGCUGCUGGUCCUGGGGGAAGUGGAAGGAGGAGGCCUGCCCAUGGACCUCUCCCUAACCCCAUCCUCGCUCUGUGUGGAAGCCCCGGCAGGCUGCACGGAGCUGCGGCUGCCUGCAUGGGUGAGGCUGGAGCCUGCCUCCUGCCGCGGGCUGCACUGGGACGCUGGGGAUGGUCUGCACCUGCGGCUGCGAGCCCGGGCUGAGCCUAGCAUGAAGUCGACUUCCAUGUUUAAUCAAAGCCCACAAGCCCAAGAAUGUUGCACGGUUUAUUGCCAGACCUGUGGUGAGAUCAUAAUAAAGGACAGGAAGCUCCUCAGGGUGCUCCCCCUGCCCGGCGAGGACUGGGGGGCCUUGGUUGGGGAGUGGUGCUGCCACCCCGACCCCUUUGCUAAUAAGCCACUGCAGCCAUGCGAGCACGACUGUUUCAUUGGAGACUCUUUCUUCUUGGUGAAUUUAAGAACCAAUUUGUGGCAUCCAGGACCUGAAGUAUCCCCAGCAAAGAAGUGCCAUCGUCCUUCUGAGAACCACUUUAAACUGGAGCCAAAGGCAAAUACCAAAGUAAUUUGUAAGCGUUGCAAGGUAAUCUUGGGAGAGACCGUGUCAUCAGAAACCACUAAGUUUUAUAUGACAGAGAUCAUUAUUCUGCCAUCUGAUAAAAGCUUUCCCAUCAUAUCAAGGUCUGAGUUCGUCCAGAGCACGGUGGCCCGGUGUCUAGUGGAACUCUCUGCUAGAAGCACAUUUAGGUUUACUAUUCAAGGUCGGGAUGGCAAAGUGUACAUCUUGCUGUGGCUUUUAAACUCAGACAGUUUGGUGAUUGAAUCUUUGAGAAGUUCUAAAUGGAUCAAAAAAUUCCCCCUGUUGGAAGACAUAGCACAGGCCGAUUGCAGCUCUGUGCGGAGCGCCGUCAAGGUCCUCUACCAGCCCUGCGUCAGAGGCAGCAACAGAGAGUAUGGUACUGCUAAGUGAUACGUGGGUCAGUAGAAAAGUUUUGAGGUCCACAAAAAUCAAGAAAUGUAAAAUCUGUGUGGCGGGAAACCAGUGAAGCCUGCCCAGCAGCACGGAGCAGCCAGGGUCUCUCACCAUCAAACUUCAGGAGAUCUGAAAAUGCUCAAGAAGACCCCCUGGUAGUUUAGGAUGUGGCAGCACUGUGAUCACUCCCAGAACACGUAGUGCACUAUAUGCUGUGCUCAGUGAACAUGUAGGUAUCUUGACAUGUAACAUCAGUAGCAAAAACUUCAGAUUUACAGCAUGUUUAUACCUGAUGUUAUAGAUCAGAAUUUAAGGGUACAAGUGUGAUUUUGCUUGAGAAGUCAGAUGCUCUAGCUUCUCAGAACAGGAGUACAUUGAAUGGAAAUUAAUCUAAAAGUAUGGGAGAGCAGCCAGGUGCUGUGGGCGUCUUUGGAAAGCCCUUUGCGUGUAUUUGUCUGCUAGCACUUUGUUUUUGCCCAGAUUUAC